rnacentral:rRNA from 1 species
AUAAUAACUUUACGGAUCACAAUAAUUUAUUUUGUGACAUAUCAUUCAAGUUUCUGACCUAUCAGCUUUAGACGGUAGGGUAUKGGCCUACCGKGGCUAUGACGGGUAACGGGGAAUUAGGGUUCGAUUCCGGAGAGGGAGCCUGAGAAACGGCUACCACAUCUAAGGAAGGCAGCAGGCGCGCAAAUUACCCAAUCCUAAUACAGGGAGGUAGUGACAAGAAAUAACAAUACAGGACUUUACGGUUUUGUAAUUGGAAUGAGUUAAGUAUAAACCCCUUUACAAGUAUCAAUUGGAGGGCAAGUCUGGKGCCAGCAGCCGCGGUAAUUCCAGCUCCAAUAGCGUAUAUUAAAGUUGUUGCAGUUAAAAAGCUCGUAGUUGGAUUUCUGUUAAUA